GGGGCUGUAGCUCAGCUGGGAGAGCGCCACAAUGGCAUUGUGGAGGCCGCCGGUUCGAUCCCGGUCAGCUCCA
rnacentral:tRNA from 1 species